rnacentral:rRNA from 1 species
GAUGAACGCUAGCUACAGGCUUAACACAUGCAAGUCGAGGGGAAACGAUAGAGAAAGCUUGCUUUUUCUAGGCGUCGACCGGCGCACGGGUGAGUAACGCGUAUCCAACCUGCCCACCACUUGGGGAUAACCUUGCGAAAGUAAGACUAAUACCCAAUGACGUCUCUAGAAGACAUCUGAAGGAGAUUAAAGAUUUAUCGGUGAUGGAUGGGGAUGCGUCUGAUUAGCUUGUUGGCGGGGUAACGGCCCACCAAGGCGACGAUCAGUAGGGGUUCUGAGAGGAAGGUCCCCCACAUUGGAACUGAGACACGGUCCAAACUCCUACGGGAGGCAGCAGUGAGGAAUAUUGGUCAAUGGACGAGAGUCUGAACCAGCCAAGUAGCGUGCAGGAUGACGGCCCUAUGGGUUGUAAACUGCUUUUAUAAGGGAAUAAAGUGAGUCUCGUGAGGCUUUUUGCAUGUACCUUAUGAAUAAGGACCGGCUAAUUCCGUGCCAGCAGCCG